CUAAAGGUGGAUAGAAGCAAGUAUCUUGUUCCUUAAAAAACUGGUACUUUUGGUUCCAAAGUGAAGGACCAUCACAAAGAAGGAUGGAUAAGGGCUCAGCAAGCAGGCAGCAGAAGAGCUCUCUUCUGGUCUGGACAGCUCCCCCAUUCUACUUCCGUCUUUCAGCUAAGCAGAAGUAGAUAAUAUGGGGCCAUAUCUCAUCACAGUUCUUUGAUGUGGUUUGGAAACUGUGUAGGAAGGUUGUGCUUUAUUAUUCUCAUCACAAUAUUUCUCAGUUUUAGUCUAGAAGGGCAAACUGCUGACUCCAUUUAGCUUCCACUGUCAGCGGAAGUCUUGUAAUCAAAGCUUUCUCUUAAUGUCUGACUGUGAUGACGGUUUGACAAGAUGAACUUCAUUUCAUUAAGAAUAAAGCUGGAAACUAAAAUCCAUAGGAAGCCGACUAGGGCCUUUCUAUUAAUUCUGAUCAAAGGGACUCUUAGGCGCAAUGAUGAGUACCUUUUUCAACCUAGUGUGCGAAGUUGGAUAUUUUCAUACUUCUUCAACUUUUUGUGUGCUGAGUGUAUUUUACAACUCAUUCUAUUAAAGUAUGAAACAAACAAAAAACGACCAUAAAGGACUUAAGGAAGCAAUGGAAAAAUAGAAACAAUAUUUGGACGCAAAUACGUGGCUCAAACUGAGUUUGACAUUUGUUAGACGUGGGACAUGGGUAAGCUGAUACUAUCUGGGAUUCUCUUUAUCUUCUACGUUAAUUUGUGGUAAUAAAGCAGGAUAAAUGUGAGCAUUAAAGAUGGUGUAUGUAAGGUGACUAGUACAUAAAGAGCUGCCAUUAUUGUAAAUUUUUAACGGGAUAAUGGUUUGUUUGUUGAAACAGUAUCUGUCAGAAGGCAUUGCAAAGAAGACACGGAUUUCCUCUGAGGACAGAUUUGGAAGAUACUGGAGAAGGAAAUCCUCAAAAGGAUGAUACAGUGAUAAAGAGAAGAGGAGAGUUUCAAACAAACAGCCAUCAUUUAAAAAAACAAAAACAAACAUAAGAAAGAAAAGAAAGAGGUGAUGGUGGUUGUAUGUUGUUGAAAAAGAAAGCUUAGAAGAGAAACAGCUGCUUUGAUGAUUGAUAAGGGAGGAAAGGGAACCUUUCAAUAUCAAGACUCUUCUUUAACAUUCAAGGGGGAAAUGGAAACAGCCAACAUGAAAGCCAGGUUUGGAAGGCAUCUGAUGUCUUAUAUUUUUAAAACAAAACUCACAAGUGGAAUGAUAAAAUUACUCAGUGGCUCUUGCAGAUUUCCCAGGAAGAAGUCAGACUGAAGUCAUGGUGUGUUCUUAACUACAGUGGAAGACUCUGAAGGAUUCCACAAAGCCUGUUGAAGCACUUUCCUCCUGACUUGAGGAGAAGGCGGAAGCACCCUUCUUGCCUAAAGAAAAGGAGACAUAUCCAUAUGUGGACAGAUGAAAGGCAUAGUUAUGGCUUGUAUCACUUGGAAAGCCUUUAUAUAUGACGAGAUAUUAUUGGGACUAUGAGGUAGGAGCCUUGGCUUCUAUCUGAUCCUGA